AGAGUUUGAUCCUGGCUCAGAGUGAACGCUGGCGGCGUGCUUAACACAUGCAAGUCGAACGAGAACGGGUUAUAGCUUGCUAUAACUGUCAGCUAAGUGGCGCACGGGUGAGUAAUAUAUAGGUAAUGUGCCCUAGAGAAGAGGAUAACAUUUGGAAACGAAUGCUAAUACUCUAUAUGCCUUUAAGACAGAAGUCUGCAAGGGAAAUAUUUAUAGCUCUAGGAUCGGCCUGUACGGUAUCAGUUAGUUGGCGAGGUAAUGGCUCACCAAGACAAUGACGCCUAACUGGUUUGAGAGGAUGAUCAGUCACACUGGAACUGAGACACGGUCCAGACUCCUACGGGAGGCAGCAGUGGGGAAUAUUGCACAAUGGGGGAAACCCUGAUGCAGCAACGCCGCGUGGAGGAUGACACAUUUCGGUGCGUAAACUCCUUUUAUAUAGGAAGAUAAUGACGGUACUAUAUGAAUAAGCGCCGGCUAACUCCGUGCCAGCAGCCGCGGUAAU
rnacentral:rRNA from 1 species